GACGAACGCUGGCGGCGUGCCUAAUACAUGCAAGUAGAACGCUGAAGGAGGAGCUUGCUCUUCUGGAUGAGUUGCGAACGGGUGAGUAACGCGUAGGUAACCUGCCUGGUAGCGGGGGAUAACUAUUGGAAACGAUAGCUAAUACCGCAUAACAGUAGAUGUUGCAUGACAUUUGCUUAAAAGGUGCAAUUGCACCACUACCAGAUGGAUCUGCGUUGUAUUAGCUAGUUGGGGGGGUAACGGCUCACCAAGGCGACGAUACAUAGCCGACCUGAGAGGGUGAUCGGCCAAACUGGGACUGAGACACGGCCCAGACUCCUACGGGAGGCAGCAGUAGGGAAUCUUCGGCAAUGGACGGAAGUCUGACCGAGCAACGCCGCGUGAGUGAAGAAGGUUUUCGGAUCGUAAAGCUCUGUUGUAAGAGAAGAACGAGUGUGAGAGUGGAAAGUUCACACUGUGACGGUAUCUUACCAGAAAGGGACGGCUAACUACGUG
rnacentral:rRNA from 1 species